AGCGAACGCUGGCGGCAGGCCUAACACAUGCAAGUCGAACGAACUCUUCGGAGUUAGUGGCGGACGGGUGAGUAACACGUGGGAACGUGCCUUUAGGUUCGGAAUAACUCAGGGAAACUUGUGCUAAUACCGAAUGUGCCCUUCGGGGGAAAGAUUUAUCGCCUUUAGAGCGGCCCGCGUCUGAUUAGCUAGUUGGUGAGGUAAAGGCUCACCAAGGCGACGAUCAGUAGCUGGUCUGAGAGGAUGAUCAGCCACAUUGGGACUGAGACACGGCCCAAACUCCUACGGGAGGCAGCAGUGGGGAAUCUUGCGCGAUGGGCGAAAGCCUGACGCAGCCAUGCCGCGUGAAUGAUGAAGGUCUUAGGAUUGUAAAAUUCUUUCAACGGGGACGAUAAUGACGGUACCCGGAGAAGAAGCCCCGGCUAACUUCGUG
rnacentral:rRNA from 1 species